rnacentral:rRNA from 1 species
GUUAGGAAUCUUCGGCAAUGGGCGAAAGCCUGACCGAGCGACACUGCUUGGAGGAUGAAGGUCUUCGGAUCGUAAACUCCUGAACGAGGGACGAAUAAUGACGGUACCUCGCUAAUAGCACCGGCUAACUCCGUGCCAGCAGCCGCGGUAAUACGGAGGGUGAGAGCGUUAUCCGGAAUCACUGGGCGUAAAGGGCGCGUAGGCGGUUUGUUAAGUCCGAUGUUAAAGACCGAGGCUCAACCUCGACACGGCGUUGGAUACUGGCAAGCUGGACGGUUGGAGAGGAAGGUAGAAUUACCAGUGUAGCGGUGGAAUGCGUAGAUACUGGUAGGAAUACCCAUUGCGAAGGCAGCCUUCUGGACAACACGUGACGCUGAGGCGCGAAAGUGUGGGGAGCAAACCGGAUUAGAAACCCUAGUAGUCC